rnacentral:rRNA from 1 species
AUGGCUAAUGGUGAUCUAGGGCAGAGAUUCCAACACCGUCGUGGGCUUAGGCAGGGAGACCCCUCUCUCCAAUGCUUUUCACCAUUGCUAUUAAUUCUCUGCAUUGGUUGUUUGAGAAGACUUGCACUGCAGGUGCCCUCUCUUCCAUGCAGCUCCCCCUUCCCAGCGCAGGGUCAGUCGGCUUGCACUGCAGGUGCCCUCUCUUCCAUGCAGCUCCCCCUUCCCAGCGCAGGGUCAGUCUGUAUGCCAAUGACGCUGCCCUCUUCGUCUCAUCAACGGCUUCUGAUACCAAAGUCACCAGGGAGAUUCUACACUGUUUUGGAAGAGCUUCUGGCCUCACAGCUAACUCGGGGAAAAGCGGUGUCUUCCCCAUUGCUUGUGAUCAGGAGGAUCUGCAAGUUCUCCUUCAGCACUUUCCAAUCCCUGUAUGCAAUUCCCGUGCAACUGUGCAAGUGUCUAGGUUUGCUGUUCAACUAUAAGAAAAUUACCAGAGCUGAUCUGCAACACACCCUUGAUAAGAUGGCCUUGUGUCUGCAGCGUUGGAAGGGCAGGCUCAUAUCUAAAGAUGCUCGUCUUUGGUUGGUUAACUCUGUCCUUUCAGCUAUUCCUGCACAUCUUAUAUCUGUAUUUUGGCUGGACCUUUGGGCUUCCAAGCAAGUUGACAAGCUGCGGCGCAACUUCCUGUGGAGACCCAAACUAGAUGCGGAUGGUGGCUUGGCCCUGUGA